CCUUGUUCAGGAACAGUGCCCGCCCAACUAAUCUGAAGAGAAAACUUUAAUUGAAUUAUUUCCUCGUGCCAUUAUUCUGUUAUUUCAAUGAAAAGCUGAACAGGUGACGGUUGCUGCGUAGGUACACUCGCUCUCUCUCCCUGCGUUGGAUUCUUGGACAUAUUGUGACCUGUUCACGCUCAAGCCAGACUUUGAAGAUUCCAAAGAGGACCAUUCAAUUAUGUACAGCAUGAUGGUGGUAAUCUGAGCCGCUCUAUUGGUCAAAGCCUCUUAAUCACUGGGUUCCUGAGAAAGGGUCAUUCGUGAAUGUGCAGGCAUGAAGGCGAUUAGUACCCAAGAGCCUCUUAAUCACUGGAUUAAUAUUGUCAAUGUUCCUCUUUCAUAGGUACCUUGUAUAUAACAUUCUACAGCAUGUAAUUGCCUUUUCAAUGCUGACUUUCAACUAAAAUGGUUCCAAGAAACCAGAAGUCCUUAAUGAUGAUAGCAGAUACAAUGAAGCUCAUUUUCCUUGAUACAGCAGUGAUGUAAAAUGAUUAUCCUGAUAAAAUUAUAAAUUAAUAAUUUCUUGUGCUGCUGCAGCAGUGAAAAACAGGAUGGUAAAGGCAGGAAGAUGGUGAGCAGUAUUUGAAGGUCAUUCAUUCAAGACUGAGAAUCAAGGAGUACGUUCAAGAGCGUGCCAAGCAAUCCAAGACCCCAUGCAGCAGGUGGAGGCCAGUUCCAUACGAUAGUGUCACGUAUGCAGCAUCUGUAGGACAAGCAGUAGUUGGAGAACAGUGCCGUGCUAGACAAGGAAGUAUGCAACACGAUAAAGACUGCUAGAAGGGUGCAAAUCGGUGAUCAAGCAAUGGACAACUGUGGCAGCAAGAAGACAAUGAUGUAGGAGAAACUAGAAGAACUGGUCCUACUAGACCGGGUGUCCUACUCAGUCUUGUGUAUGAUAUUACCCGAGAUACUGCUCAAUUAGUGCCUGGCUAACACAGUGCUGUUACCUUGGGAAUUCUACCUAACCUGUUGCACACUGGGCAAGCCAGGUCAACCAGAAUAUUAAGAAGACAAGCUCACAGCAAGUUAAACACUGCAAUGGACAGGGCAUCAGUUGGUCAAAUAAUGCCCGGCAAGUCAGUAGUAUGUUGACCAAAAGGAGAGUGACACCAAGUGAAGUGAAUGCCAACGGGUAAUUUGACAGGAUGGUGGCUGGCCACAACAGGACAAGAAAAGGAGGUCAGUACCAGAUCAAGAAGGAUUUUUACGCAAGCCAAAAAGACAAACAACACCAGGCAAACAUCAGAUGGAAAAUGUCUUAUGGUCAAGCAUCGAGGCCACAACAUUAAGCCCGGGAGGACAAUGGUUGGUCCAUAACCUAUAUCUUCCUUAACCUGGUACUGCCCUGUAUGGACUUGCGUUACCGGCUCAACCAAAGGCUGAUUGACAUACUCCUGGCAAGGCAUUAUCGUAAGAAGGUCAAGUUGGUAGCCAAGCAAAUAGCAGCAGGGUCUACUAGUUCGUCGAGCAAGAUUGAUGUUAAUCAGAGCAUACUACAAGUCAGGGGCAGCAGCUUGAACGGGAGGAUGAAGGCUGAAAGUAUAGGUGCAGACAGCCAGUAAUAUUUUCAGCAAGAAAACGGUAACAGCAGGCAAGGAGAGGAGAGCCCUGGGAGAAAAGCAAGAAAAGAAAUGUGCUGGGCAAACAAAGGAAGAGGGACAAACUUCAUGGAAAUCAAGGAGACAAGUUGCAGAUUAAGACAGGAGCUAUUCAUUCCCAGGAGAUAAACAGCAGUUGGAAUAUGGCACUGGGUAAGCCAAGGAGAGGCAAAUAUGUUAUUGAACAGUAAGUUCUGUACAAGCUGAAGAUGAGAAAAGUGCCUGGCACUAGCAAGAAGGUGAGCUCUAAUAGAGGAUGGCAAAGAACAGCCAACAGCAUAAUUAGAGGAGAGCAUAAGACAAGAAAGCAUGUGAACAGCUGGUCUAGAACUAGUGUCUGACAUGUACAGCAAGAAGCCGGUGGAAGAUGACGAUGAACAGUCCAUGUUGGCCCAGCAUAUUGUAAGAAGAAAAAGACAGAACGCCAAAAAGACAAGCAGUACAUGAACCAAGCUCUGGCAUCUCAAAGGAGUGAGCAGGGUACUGACAGGCAACCCAAGAAGUGAGAAAGACAAGACAUCCUUAUAAGUAAAUCACUUUUUUAAAUAACUGAUCUCCGGAUAGGAAAGCUGAUUUUCCCACUUUGGAGAAAAUUGAAAUUGAAUGCUUUCUCCAAAGCAUCUGAGAUGCUUGAUAUCCAUUCUUCUCAAUGCUUUUCAAAACAUAUUGUAAAAUGAAGAUGCAUUUGUUUGUGAAAGUUUGAAUUUUUGUUAGCUAGUGUCAUAAUAUACAAAAGCCAUUGUUUAA